UUCCUUUCAUGUAAUCCUGAUGGCAGCUCCUUUCUGAUUAGUCCAUCUGUCCUUCCAUGGCACAGCCCCAUCAGUACAUCUCACACCACUUUCUCGUGCUGGGCAGUGCCUGGAGAUAUUUGAGGAACUAAGGACAUAUUUCUGCUUAACAGUGAAACACAGCAAUUCACAAAGCAGAGGUAAUCACACUGGUGCCAGUGGACUACUCAGAGUGAGAUACUUUUUAAUACAGGCAAGAGGAUCAGUCUGCUUGCUUAAAAAAUACAAUGCAAGGAACAAGACUGAAUCCACAAAGGAUUGCCCAAUCAAAGUCUGCUUUUCACAGCAAUGCACCUUCCAACAAGUCAUGCCUGAAAACUAAUUGACAAACGAACAAGUUUCAGGCUGGAAAUAUGUAAAAUAUAUCCUCAUGUUAAACGCUCAAAGUUGGAAGAAAAAGACACUGCACAGACACUUCAGUCUUUGAAGUGCACAGCUUCUUUUGGCUUCAAUGAACCAUGAAAAUAUCAAAGGAAUAACUUACCACUCAGUAUUUUGAUGUUCAUCAGUCCUCAGAUUGCUUUACUAAGAAGAACAGUGG
rnacentral:lncRNA from 1 species